GCCUUCGUGGCUUAACGGUUAGAACACUCGGUGCGUACUCGAGAGGUCCAGGUUCGAGUCCCGGCGAGGGCA
rnacentral:tRNA from 1 species